CAAAGUCAUAACUUGUACAGGUUAUUAUCUUGUGCAGACAGCGAGCAAAAUGUUUACUUGUUCUUACAACAUGUAUAUGUUUCUGUCACUGAAUAAUUGCUCAAAUAAGAUCAUAACAAGGCAAUAACUUCAGCACAUACAUAUCUUGAAAAUUAAACAUGUACAGUCAGUAGAGUCAGUCAGUAAAUCUUAGUCUAUUGAUGUUUGUGCAGGCAGCUAUUUUUCUGUUUUCUGAUGUUUUUGUUUGGCCUCAUUAUCUCUUUUAUGGUGUUAAUUUUUAAGAUGUAGGUUGUAAGUUGUAAGUUGACAGGUGUGUGCAGUCUGCUCACAAGUCUCCUCCCUCUAGUUUGUGCUGUUAUGCUGACCACUAGAGGCCUCAAUAAGGAAGCACACCCACCUUGUGGAAAUUUUAAGGACAACACUCCAGUUUCAAAAUAAAACACAUCUACAACAGUUUCUUCUUCUGCACAGGAUUUUACUGCAGUCCAGCAUUACACUUUCAUUCAUGACAAAAUGUUUUCAUGCUUUCAUUCAUUUGUAUUUGAUUCAGUCAUUUGAUUCAUUCUUUACAGCAUCAGUUCAUCAAGACCACGUCUUUUAAGAAUAAGGUUGGAGGUUCACUGACGGACUAAGUUAUGUAUUUGAAACGUUUUUAACCAAUCCCAUCCGGUAACAAUGGUAUUGAAACACAGACUUAACAGACAUCCAAAGUUCUUUACAUAAAUCACCAGAAUUAAAAAUAUGAUAAAAAGUUAAAAUUAAAAAAAAUGGCAAAAAAAGUGAAAUAGUGCAAAUCUUGACAGAAUAAAGUUUAUGCAAAGUUUAAAAGCUUUUUAAAAACAUCAUUGUCUUUAAAUGAAUUUCAACUAGGGAGACUUUUCUCUCUCGCACAAUGGUUGUUUAAGGAGACCGACCCUGUUCAGCUGUAGAAUGGUUUAGUGACACAGCUUCUGAUUGUUAUGCCAAAUGUAUCUGUUACAAUAA